CGAACGCUGGCGGCGUGCCUAAUACAUGCAAGUCGAGCGGACUGAAUGGGAGCUUGCUCUUGUUCGGUCAGCGGCGGACGGGUGAGUAACACGUGGGCAACCUGCCCGCAAGACCGGGAUAACUCCGGGAAACCGGAGCUAAUACCGGAUAACACCGAAGACCGCAUGGUCUUUGGUUGAAAGGCGGCGCAAGCUGCCACUUGCGGAUGGGCCCGCGGCGCAUUAGCUAGUUGGUGAGGUAACGGCUCACCAAGGCGACGAUGCGUAGCCGGCCUGAGAGGGUGACCGGCCACACUGGGACUGAGACACGGCCCAGACUCCUACGGGAGGCAGCAGUAGGGAAUCUUCCGCAAUGGGCGAAAGCCUGACGGAGCGACGCCGCGUGAGCGAAGAAGGCCUUCGGGUCGUAAAGCUCUGUUGUGAGGGACGAAGGAGCGCCGUUUGAAGAAGGCGGCGCGGUGACGGUACCUCACGAGGAAGCCCCGGCUAACUACGUG
rnacentral:rRNA from 1 species